rnacentral:rRNA from 1 species
GACGACGCUGGCGGCGCGCCUAACACAUGCAAGUCGAACGGGCGCAUUCCUUCGGGGAUGCGUUAGUGGCGGACGGGUGAGUAACACGUGAGCAACCUGCCCUAGAAUGGGGGAUAACACAGGGAAACCUGUGCUAAUACCGCAUAACAUUAAGUGAUGGCAUCAUUGCUUAAUCAAAGGAGAAAUCCGUUUUAGGAUGGGCUCGCGCCCGAUUAGAUAGUUGGUGAGGUAACGGCCCACCAAGUCUGCGAUCGGUAGCCGGACUGAGAGGUUGAACGGCCACAUUGGGACUGAGACACGGCCCAGACUCCUACGGGAGGCAGCAGUGGGGGAUAUUGCACAAUGGGCGAAAGCCUGAUGCAGCGACGCCGCGUGAGGGAAGACGGUCUUCGGAUUGUAAACCUCUGUCUUCGGGGAAGAAGAAUGACGGUACCCGAGGAGGAAGCCACGGCUAACUACGUG